rnacentral:rRNA from 1 species
AGCGAACGCUGGCGGCAGGCCUAACACAUGCAAGUCGAACGAACCUUUCGGGGUUAGUGGCGGACGGGUGAGUAACACGUGGGAACGUGCCUUUAGGUUCGGAAUAACUCAGGGAAACUUGUGCUAAUACCGAAUGUGCCCUUCGGGGGAAAGAUUUAUCGCCUUUAGAGCGGCCCGCGUCUGAUUAGCUAGUUGGUUGAGGUAAUGGCUCACCAAGGCGACGAUCAGUAGCUGGUCUGAGAGGAUGAUCAGCCACAUUGGGACUGAGACACGGCCCAAACGCCUACGGGAGGAAGCAGUGGGGAAUCUUGCGCAAUGGGCGAAAGCCUGACGCAGCCAUGCCGCGUGAAUGAUGAAGGUCUUAGGAUUGUAAAAUUCUUUCACCGGGGACGAUAAUGACGGUACCCGGAGAAGAAGCCCCGGCUAACUUCGUG